rnacentral:rRNA from 1 species
CAGCAGCCACGGGAAUACAGAGGAUGCAAGCGUUAUCCGGAAUGAUUGGGCGUAAAGCGUCUGUAGGUAGCUUUUCAAGUCCGCCGUCAAAUCCCAGGGCUCAACCCUGGACAGGCGGUGGAAACUACGAAGCUGGAGUACGGUAGGAGCAGAGAGAAUUUCCAGUGGAGCGGUGAAAUGCGUUGAGAUCGGAAAGAACACCAACGGCGAAAGCACUCAGCUGGGCCGACACUGACACUGAGGGACGAAAGCUAGGGGAGCAAAUGGGAUUAGAUACCCCCGUAGUCCCUGUCUCUUAUAC